CUGACCAUCCAAACCAUCCUGAAUACACAGGGUCUCAUCCGAUUUUUGGAAGGUAAGCAAGGUGCAGCCUGGUUAGUACUUGUGCAUGGGACAGCACCAGGGAAUCCCAAAUGCUGCACUGA
rnacentral:rRNA from 1 species